UGACACAGGGAGGUAGUGACAAUAAAUAACAAUGCCGGGCCUUCUUAGGUCUGGCAAUUGGAAUGAGAACAAUUUAAACCCCUUAUCGAGUAUCAAUUGGAGGGCAAGUCUGGUGCCAGCAGCCGCGGUAAUUCCAGCUCCAAUAGCGUAUAUUAAAGUUGUUGCAGUUAAAAAGCUCGUAGUUGAAUUUCUAGUCAGUUAAUUUGGAGGUCUCCUUCACUUUAGCUGGCUAUUCGACACUGAACCAUGCCGGUUAUUAAGUUAACCCCAUGGAGAAUUGUCAUUUUACUUUGAAAAAAUUAGAGUGUUUCAGGCAGGCAAUUGCCCGGAUAUCUUAGCAUGGAAUAAUGGAAUAGGACUUUGGUUCAUUUUAUUGGUUAUUGAAUCAGAGUAAUGAUUAAUAGGGACAGUUGGGGGCAUUAGUAUUUAAUUGUCAGAGGUGAAAUUCUUGGAUUUAUUAAAGACUAACUUAUGCGAAAGCAUUUGCCAAGGAUGUUUUCAUUAAUCAAGAACGAAAGUUAGGGGAUCAAAGACGAUCAGAUACCGUCCUAGUCUUGACUAUAAACUAUACCGACUCAGGAUUGGCCAUGUUUAAACUUGGUCAGCACUGUAUGAGAAAUUAAAGUCUUUGGGUUCUGGGGGGAGUAUGGUCGCAAGGCUGAAACUUAAAGGAAUUGACGGAAGGGCACCACCAGGAGUGGAGCCUG
rnacentral:rRNA from 1 species